rnacentral:rRNA from 1 species
CAGGGAAUCUUCGGCAAUGGGGGCAACCCUGACCGAGCAACGCCGCGUGAGUGAAGAAGGUUUUCGGAUCGUAAAGCUCUGUUGUAAGAGAAGAACGAGUGUGAGAGUGGAAAGUUCACACUGUGACGGUAACUUACCAGAAAGGGACGGCUAACUACGUGCCAGCAGCCGCGGUAAUACGUAGGUCCCGAGCGUUAUCCGGAUUUAUUGGGCGUAAAGCGAGCGCAGGCGGUUAGAUAAGUCUGAAGUUAAAGGCUGUGGCUUAACCAUAGUACGCUUUGGAAACUGUUUAACUUGAGUGCAGAAGGGGAGAGUGGAAUUCCAUGUGUAGCGGUGAAAUGCGUAGAUAUAUGGAGGAACACCGGUGGCGAAAGCGGCUCUCUGGUCUGUAACUGACGCUGAGGCUCGAAAGCGUGGGGAGCGAACAGGAUUAGAUACCCUGGUAGUCCACGCCGUAAACGAUGAGUGCUAGGUGUUAGGUCCUUUCCGGGACUUAGUGCCGCAGCUAACGCAUUAAGCACUCCGCCUGGGGAGUACGACCGCAAGGUUG